AAUGGGCGAAAGCCUGACGCAGCCACGCCGCGUGAGCGAUGGAGGUCUUCGGAUCGUAAAGCUCUGUGGGGAGAGAAGAACUGACGGUAUCUCCUUAGCAAGCACCGGCUAACUCCGUGCCAGCAGCCGCGGUAAUACGGGGGGUGCAAACGUUGCUCGGAAUCAUUGGGCGUAAAGCGCGCGUAGGCGGCUUGAUAAGUUGGGUGUGAAAGCCCAGGGCUCAACCCUGGAAGUGCACUCAAAACUGUUAGGCUUGAGUCCCGGAGGGGCCCAGAGAAUUCCUGGUGUAGAGGUGAAAUUCGUAGAUAUCAGGAGGAAUACCAGUGGCGAAGGCGCUGGGCUGGACGGGUACUGACGCUGAGGUGCGAAAGCGUGGGGAGCAAACAGGAUU
rnacentral:rRNA from 1 species